GGCCGGUUGGCGCAAUGGUAGCGCGCAGCCCUCCUAUUGCUUAAGCUCUAGAUAGACAGGCUGAGGCUGUGGGUUCGAGUCCCACAUCGGUCG